AAACACGGAAAGAAGGCCAACGGGAAGAAGGUGGCUCUAGACCCUGCUGUCUUGAAGAAGCAGGAGGCCAGGAAAGGGGUGAAUCCCCUGUUAGAGAAAAGGCCUAAAAAUUUUGCCAUUGGACAGGAUAUUCAGCUCAAAAGGGACCUCACCUGCUUUGUCAAAUGGCCCCACUAUAUCAGGUUGCCGUGUCAAAGAGCUAUCCACUAUAAGUAGCUGAAAGUGCCUCCUGCAAUUAACCAGUUUACCCAGGCCUUGGACCUCCAAAACAGCCACUCAGCUGCUUAAGCUGGCCCACAAGUACAGACCAGAGACAUGGAAAGAACAGAAGAAGAGACUAUUGGCCCAUGCUGAGACGAAAGCUACUGGCAAAGGGGACAUCCCCACCAAGAGACCACUUGUCCUUCUAGAAGGAGUUACCACCAUCAUCACUUUGGUGGAGAAGAAGAAGGCUCAGCUGGUGGAGAACAAGAAGGCUCAACUGGUAGUGACUGCACAUGACGUGGAUCUCAUGGAGUUGGUUGUCUACCCGUCUGCCCCGUCUCAUAAAAUGGGGGUCCCUUACUGCAUUAUUAAGGGGAAGGCAAGACUGGGAUAUUUAUGAAGACCUGUACCACUGUUGCCUUCACAUAGGUUAGCUCAGAAGACAAAAGAGCUUUGGCUAAGCUGGUGGAAGCUAUUAGGACUAAUUACAAUGACACAUAUGAUGAGAUCUGUUGUCACUGGGGAGGUAUUGUCCUGGGUCCCAUAUCUGUGGCUCACAUAGCCAAGCUGGAAAGGCAAAGGCUAAAGAAGUCGCCACUAA
rnacentral:lncRNA from 1 species